rnacentral:rRNA from 1 species
UACGUAGGGGGCAAGCGUUGUCCGGAAUCAUUGGGCGUAAAGAGCGUGUAGGCGGCCCGGUAAGUCCGCCGUGAAAGUCCAGGGCUCAACCCUGGAAUGCCGGUGGAAACUGCCGGGCUGGAGUCCGGAAGAGGCGAGUGGAAUUCCUGGUGUAGCGGUGAAAUGCGCAGAUAUCAGGAGGAACACCAAUGGCGAAGGCAGCGCGCUGGGACGGUACUGACGCUGAGACGCGAAAGCGUGGGGAGCAAACAGG